CAGUCGCCGCGGUAAUACGAAGGGUGCAAGCGUUAAUCGGAAUUACUGGGCGUAAAGCGUGCGUAGGCGGUGAGUUAAGUCUGCUGUGAAAUCCCCGGGCUCAACCUGGGAAUGGCAAUGGAUACUGGCGAGCUAGAGUGUGUCAGAGGAUGGUGGAAUUCCCGGUGUAGCGGUGAAAUGCGUAGAGAUCGGGAGGAACAUCAGUGGCGAAGGCGGCCAUCUGGGACAACACUGACGCUGAGGCACGAAAGCGUGGGGAGCAAACAGGAUUAGAUACCCCGGUAGUCCCUGUCUCUUAUAA
rnacentral:rRNA from 1 species